CCUANGGGAGGCUGCAAUUAGGAAUCUUGCGCAAUGGGCGAAAGCCUGACGCAGCGACGUCGCGUGACCGAUGAAGUCUUUCGGGAUGUAAAGGUCUUUUUUGGGGGAAGAAGGAUGUGACGGUACCCCAAGAAUAAGCCCCGGCUAACUACGUGCCAGCAGCCGCGGUAAUACGUAGGGGGCGAGCGUUGUCCGAAUUCACUGGGCGUAAAGCGCGCGUAGGCGGGUUAUUAAGUUGGAGGUGAAAUCCCGGGGCUCAACCCCGGAACUGCCCCCAAAACUGGUAGUCUUGAGGUAUGGAGAGGGAAGUGGAAUUCCUGGUGGAGCGGUGAAAUGCGUAGAUAUCAGGAGGAACACCCGUGGCGAAGGCGGCUUCCUGGCCAUAUCCUGACGCUGAGGUGCGAAAGCUAGGGGAGCGAACGGGAUUAGAUACCCUGNUANUC
rnacentral:rRNA from 1 species